UACGAAGGGGGCUAGCGUUGCUCGGAAUUACUGGGCGUAAAGCGCACGUAGGCGGCUUUCUAAGUCGGAGGUGAAAUCCUGGAGCUCAACUCCAGAACUGCCUUCGAUACUGGAGAGCUUGAGUCCGGGAGAGGUGAGUGGAACUGCGAGUGUAGAGGUGAAAUUCGUAGAUAUUCGCAAGAACACCAGUGGCGAAGGCG
rnacentral:rRNA from 1 species